UGGGUGAUAGGUUGUAUUUUUAAAAUAAAAUUCUCAAAAAUUCUAUUUCUGGAAAGUUUUCGUUUUUAUAGAGAAAUGUUUUAGAUUUGGGAUUGUGAAUUAGAAAAUAGGAUUACAAGAAUUUUUGUUGAUAGAUGAGUAUUGUUUUAGAUUUUUUUAUCAAUAGGUGGUAUUUUAUAAAUAAAAUUCUUAAAAAUUCUAUUUUAGGAAAGUUUUCAUUUUUAUAGGUAAAUAUUGUAGAUUUGGG
rnacentral:lncRNA from 1 species